UAUUCUCCUUCCACAGAUGUGGCAAUCUCGGAGCAGAGACAUCAGUUUGCCCUCAGUCCCACGGUCAGCGAGUGGCAGGGUUAGGACUACACAGCGAUGGCUGAACGACCAGAAACCACACUGGGAUGACGUCUGCGUGUGUGUCGGGUCUCUCAGAAUCUCUCCGCUUCCCAUCUCUGCAGCUUUUAGGCACCUGCUUGUCAGCCCCACAUGGACAACCUGCCCGGCCUCAGAGAACGGAAGCCUGGGCACACAGCCUUCAAGAGCGUGCUGGCCCCUGGCAAUUGCUCUAAUUACCUGGGAGCUAAUUAGGGACCAUUGUGUAUUCAGAACUGAGAUUUUCAUCCUUCAGAAUUUGCAUUUCCAGCGAGGAGCUCGUUCUCCAUGCAUCAGAAGGUAGUUACAAACACGGAGCACUGGACGUGACUGGUACCGAGCGUUGGUCUUCCUCAGUCCCCCAGCCUGACGCACGUGCCGGGGAUGACACAGGAUGGAGAGAAGAGGCCAAGUCUGAAGGUCAGGAUCCUUCCGUGUGGACUGUCCGACGUCUCCUCGGGACACGCGUGCACCCCGCUGCCAGGACAGGCUCUGCCCCUGCCCCACUGCCCCUUCCACAUGCGUCGGCCCGUCUGUCUCCUCUUUUUCCUGCCAUUUUGUUUUAAAAUAACUUCUCCAAUCUACCAGCUCAGACAGUCUGUUUUUAACAUCGUCUCCUCCACUGAUUUCCCUCGACAAUUUCAAACCAUGUAAAAUUCAUCGCAGGCUAGAAAUAUAUGAACCAAGGAUAUAUUUAAUAUGGAAAAAGACUUUGGGUAUAAAACAGCUGUUUUUGCUAAAAAUCAGAGUUUAGCAAAUGAUAUUUGACAAAAAGGAAAAAGGGAACGGAUGUCUCGCAUCUUUUAAACAUUCUCUGUUCCUAGAAGGUGCUCGGAUCUGUUUUCUCUGCAGUUGCGAGACCCCUGGGAGACACCCUGGCAACGCUCGUGUGAGUGUCCCUGUGUGUUGGCUCUCGGGACAGACCGCUUCCCAUGCCCCGCCCACCUGGCUUGGUUUCCAUGCAGGAACCGAGGCUCGGACUCUGGGGACGUCCGGGGCAGGACUUCCCUCCAGAGCUGCUGAUACCUGCAAAAUGCCAAAUGGGCGAGCCUGUCAGGUGAUGGGGCAGGGGUGGCACGUGGAGGUCUGGAUGCUGCAGCCGCAGGAAGCUGUGGGGUUUGGAGGAGCAGAGCUCAGGCAGCCAUGGGUUGAAAUCCCAGUCCGCUACUAACAAGCUGUGUGACUUUAGGUGAAUUACAUAACCUCUCUGAGCUUGUGUGUAUAAUUCAGGUCAUUAUUAACUCUCUCUUCUGGAUCAUGGGCCUCCAAUGCCUGGACAGCUGAGGAGAUGCCAUUGCGUCAGUCAGCCGCAGAGUUACUCAACUAUGAAAACAAAUAUGAACCCCAC